GCUGGAAACGGUUGAUUUUUAAUGGAAUAUCUCCAUAGGGGUACAGAGGAACAUUUCCAGCAACCAUCACUCCUGUGUUCUAAUGCUACAUUGUGUUAGCUAAUGGUGUUGAAAGGCUAAGUGAUGAUUAGAAAACCCUUGUGCUCUUGUAUUAGCACAUGAAUAAGAGUGUGAUUUUUGCCUGGGUGACCCCAAACUUUUGAACGGUAGUGUACGUGCAAAGACCUUCAAUGUAUAUCACAUGUUACUGUUUCUGUCAGUCGAUCCUGUUUUUCAUCUCAACAUGACUGUUGUGCAUUUUUUCCGUUUCUUUGUUUUUUUUCCUUUCUCAGAAGGAAUUUCAACAUCUAUUCAAUAAAAGCGAAAAGGGCUGUAAACAGAA